rnacentral:rRNA from 1 species
UAUGAAGGGGGCUAGCGUUGCUCGGAAUUACUGGGCGUAAAGCGCACGUAGGCGGUUUCUUAAGUCGGUGGUGAAAUCCUGGAGCUCAACUCCAGAACUGCCUUCGAUACUGGGAAACUUGAGUUCGGGAGAGGUGAGUGGAACUGCGAGUGUAGAGGUGAAAUUCGUAGAUAUUCGCAAGAACACCAGUGGCGAAGGCGGCUCACUGGCCCGAUACUGACGCUGAGGUGCGAAAGCGUGGGGAGCGAACAGG